GCACUGUCUUUUCCUGCUGCCUUGUAAAGAAGGUGUCUGCUUCCUUUUCACCUUCUGCCAUGAUUGUAAGUUUCCUGAGACCUCCCCAGCCAUGCGAAACUGACCCCACUGAAAAUCGGACUGUUCAACUCACCUGGCAGCCACUUCCAGAGCCCCUGGAACUCUGGCCCAAGGCUCUCUGACUGACACCUUCCCAGAUCUUCUAGGCUUAGCAGCUGAAGACUGACACUGCCCGAUUGCCUCGGAAGCCUGCAGGACCAUCACAGAUGCUCUGGGUAACUCUCACAGUGGAGGGACCUGGACUAGAGUGAGACCACGUAGGUGCCUAUGGCACAGAAUAUAAGUGAGAUCCAUGUACACAGAUCCACUUACUCAGAGAUGUGUCCAAGGAACCUUAUUUGCCUCACCCUAAUCCUGACCCUUCUCUGGAAUCUGUUCUCAGCCUGCGAUUUGUUUUAACAAAUAGAAUGUGUUGGAAGUGACGCUGUGCUAGUUCUGGGUCUAAGUCUUAUGAAUGCCUGGAAGCCACUAUUUUGUGCUCUUGGGAAUCUUCAGUCUUCUAAGAAGUCCAGUCAUACUACUGUUGAGAGCACAUGGAGAUACAGAGUGGACACUUCAUGUGGAAUGGGAGAAGCUCUGAGACUACAGGAGCAGAGGAAGAUGCCCAGCCUUACUGGCAUCCCAGCGCCCAGACGACCUGCCAGCUGAAUGCAGUCAUAGGAGUGAUCACUGGCAAGACCAGCUGAGCCCAGCUCACAAACUAGAAUCGUGGGCAAAUUAAAUGGUUGUUGUUUAAAGCCACUAAGUUUUAGUGUGUUUGUUAGGUAGCAAUAGGAAACCAGAACAGAGACCAGCCCUGUCUGCUGUGGAUGCUCUGAUGGUUUAAGCAGCUGAUAUAAAUCAUGACAAGAAAUAGCAGAGAAGGGAAUAACAUGAAACACAGCAGCAGGAAGCCUGGAAAUAUCUGUGAGAUUUCCUUGCAGGUUCCUAGAGUCAGGUGGGCUAGAGGUCUGGAUGCUUAAGAGUAGAUGGGGUCAAAGACCAGAAAUAGUGUCUUGUCACAAAGUCACUCUUUAUCACUAAUCAGGUUUGUCCUGGGGGCCACUUAUCUAAUAGUGCUAUAUACAUGCACGUUGGUGUUACAACCACAAAAGAAAAAAAAAUGACAGGUCAGGGAUCUGAUUGAUUGUUCAACAGAGCGCAUUUAUGGUGCUUGGCCUGUGCAAACAGACUUACGAGCAGACAGGCUCAGACCCAUCAGAGAUUGAGCACAAUAGCUAGGAUGCAAAUCUCUCUAUAUGAAAUGUCUCAGCCCAUACAUACAUGGAUAUGGUGCUGAAAGCACUAGGACCCCUGAGCCAACAUAAGCACAACCUAGGCAUCUUGCAAUAUCUAAGCUUUGGGGACUCAGUUCUCCCCUGCUGUGAUUAUAUGCCUGGCUCUAGAAGCAUUGUGCAAAUUAUAGGACCUGGAGAGUCUAAACUGUAAAUGAAUGCAAAUGAAUGUGGCCUCCCAGGAAAUAAAAAUACAGGCUCAUUAUUUUGUUUUUCAGUCCAGAAAAGAACACACUUUGAAAUGGCAGUUUCUGGCAAGAAUAAAAUAAUAUUAAU
rnacentral:lncRNA from 1 species